rnacentral:rRNA from 1 species
AACGAACGCUGGCGGCAUGCCUAACACAUGCAAGUCGAACGAGACCUUCGGGUCUAGUGGCGCACGGGUGCGUAACGCGUGGGAACCUGCCCUUAGGUUCGGAAUAACUCCCCGAAAGGGGUGCUAAUACCGGAUAAUGUCUUCGGACCAAAGAUUUAUCGCCUUUGGAUGGGCCCGCGUUGGAUUAGCUAGUUGGUAGGGUAAAAGCCUACCAAGGCGACGAUCCAUAGCUGGUCUGAGAGGAUGAUCAGCCACACUGGGACUGAGACACGGCCCAGACUCCUUCGGGAGGCAGCAGUGGGGAAUAUUGGACAAGGGGCGAAAGCCUGAUCCAGCAAUGCCGCGUGAGUGAUGAAGGCCUUAGGGUUGUAAAGCUCUUUUACCCGGGAUGAUAAUGACAGUACCGGGAGAAUAAGCUCCGGCUAACUCCGUGC